rnacentral:rRNA from 1 species
GUGCCAGCAGCCGCGGUGAUACGGAGGGUGCAAGCGUUAAUCGGAAUUACUGGGCGUAAAGCGCACGCAGGCGGUUUGUUAAGUCAGAUGUGAAAUCCCCGGGCUCAACCUGGGAACUGCAUCUGAUACUGGCAAGCUUGAGUCUCGUAGAGGGGGGUAGAAUUCCAGGUGUAGCGGUGAAAUGCGUAGAGAUCUGGAGGAAUACCGGUGGCGAAGGCGGCCCCCUGGACGAAGACUGACGCUCAGGUGCGAAAGCGUGGGGAGCAAACAGGAUUAGAUACCCUGGUAGUCCACGCCGUAAACGAUGUCGACUUGGAGGUUGUGGCUUCCGGAGCUAACGCGUUAAGUCGACCGCCUGGGGAGUACGGCCGCAAGGUUAAAACUCAAAUGAAUUGACGGGGGCCCGCACAAGCGGUGGAGCAUGUGGUUUAAUUCGAUGCAACGCGAAGAACCUUACCUGGUCUUGACAUCCAGGUGCUGCAUGGCUGUCGUCAGCUCGUGUUGUGAAAUGUUGGGUUAAGUCCCGCAACGAGCGCAACCCUUAUCCUUUGUUGCAACUCAAAGGAGACUGCCAGUGAUAAACUGGAGGAAGUGGGGGAUGACGUCAAGUCAUCAUGGCCCUUACGACCAGGGCUACACACGUGCUACAAUGGC